rnacentral:rRNA from 1 species
AGCUCCAAUAGCGUAUAUUAAAGUUGUUGCAGUUAAAAAGCUCGUAGUUGGAUUUCUGAGGGAGUGCCAAUGUCCGCUGUUGCGUGUUCAGCGGCGCUCCCUCAUCCUUCUGUUAACGUUUCUGAUAUUCAUUUAUUGGUCUCGGGCUCAGAUAUUUUACCUUGAGAAAAUUAGAGUGUUCCAGGCAGGCUUGCGCCGGAAUACAUUAGCAUGGAAUAAUAGAAUAGGACUUUAGUCUCCUUUGUUGGUUUGAGGGAUUGAAGUAAUGAUUAAUAGGGAUAGUUGGGGGCAUUAGUAUUUAAUUGUCAGAGGUGAAAUUCUUGGAUUUAUGAAAGACUAACUUCUGCGAAAGCAUUUGCCAAGGAUGUUUUCA